UUUUCUACUGGAUUAUAUACUGCCUGGGGAACCGAAGAACUAUAAUCUACUCCUUUCAUUUUAAGAUGUCUAUCUGGAAUGUCUGAUGUAGAAUACAUGGGUUUUACUAUGUGUAAUACCCGGCUAGAUGCCGGCAUCGGAAUUCUGACUUUCCGGCGGAAUCUCCGUUGGAAUCUAGAAUUCGAGGAUGUCGGAGCCUUCUAGAAGGGUUAUAAAAAGAGGUUUUCAAAAUGUUUUUAAGUGUUUUAUGGUUUUGAAUGCACCGGAUUUGGGUUUUGAAAGGGAAA
rnacentral:lncRNA from 1 species